rnacentral:lncRNA from 1 species
UUUUUUUGAGAUGGAGUUUCACUCUGUCGCCCAGGCUGGAGUGCAGUGAUGCGAUCUCGGCUCACUGCAAGCUCUGCCUCCCAGGUUCAUGCUAUUCUCCUGCCUCAGCCUCCUGAGUAGCUGGGAUUACAGGCGCCCACCACAGGUGCUAUAAUCUUUUACCUGAAUUCUUUAAUUCUACUGAAAAUUGUUUUGUGUGUGUGGAUAGUGUUUCAAAUUGAUUUUCUAUGAAGGGAUGAGCUUUGAAAUCUCCUAUUCUGCCAUCUUGCUUCGAAACAAUUUUAAAUGUGCAGAAAUGCCAUAGAGAUAAGUUCCCACAUGUCCCUCACUAUCCAGCUUACCCCUUUGUUAGCAUCGUACAUUGCCAUUGUUUCCCUUUUUAAAAUGUCUUUGAAUUUUAGGUUUCACAUUUAUGGCUAUGAAAAAAAAAAUCCCUGCUUUUCCUUUUUUCUUUUCCCUUUAGCUGCAACCUGCCUUAUCCCCUUCUUUUGAAGAGGAUCAGAACUUGAAUUAGGGAGAACUGAUCUUUCAGAGAAGAUAAAUUCACUCUGGCCUAGAGACAGAGAAGGGAGAUGAGACACCCUGCUGAGCCAGACAGCCAGCCUCCUGCCGGCGCUGCCAGUACCCUCACCAGCUGGGCACCAGCUGACCUGGCACACAGACAUCUCUGCCAUCAGGAAGACCUGUAGGGAGUUUUCCACUGUGAAUGCCAACAAGAAUCUGUCUUUCUUUAACAAAUGGCAAGCUGUGUUAAGGGCAUGGAGACCUUUGAUCUUCUGCUGAUGGAAGCAUUUAUAUGACCCUGAGUGGCGUGCUGAACCCUUUGUUCAACAAACUUAGAGGGAAGAUAGAGAACCAGACCUGAGCACACCCUCCUGGCUGCAGGUGCAGCUCACAUGAUGGUUUCGGGUCGGCCUCUGGAAAACAAUUAUGCUGACAGUUACUUACAGAGACUCUGCCACAUGCUAGGAGCUUUACAUCAGUGGUUGGAAUCUUCACAGCAGACCUACAGAGCAGGCAUUGGUGGCAGGGGAUAUCUGAGGAGUCACUGUAGCAGACGCUGCUGUCAGUACUUCACCGUGGCCGGUAUCCAGCAAGGGCUUUCCUUCAGCAACCGCUGGCCCAGCACUGUUGAUAGGGACUGA